rnacentral:lncRNA from 1 species
GCACACUGUGGUGCAGUAAAGAAAAUUGUAUAAAACUAUUCGCUUUUCCCGUGGAAGCUGUUUUGUUGAAACUGGCUUGUCCUUGCCCUGUAUUACUGAAAAAGCAAGUAAAUUAGUAUAUAAAUGAAUGAGAUAUUUGGAAGCCAGAAGCUAUGUGCAGCACCCAGGUCACUUGCUGGCCUGGACCCAUGCUGCUGGGCUGUGCUUGCGCUGCUUCCAUGAGCAUCUGCAGAGAUGUCUUUUUCCAAAGCAGAGCAGAGUCAGAGGUGUGCAGUGAGUUGGAACUGCUGUUUCUGGCCAGGGAUUGUUGCAUGGCUAUUAGGAGGUACACAGCAAUGCAACAGCUGAAGAAUUGCUCUCCUUGAUGUCCUGCAAAUUGUUCUGCCUGUGGCCCUCAAAGGAAGGAAACUGCCAACACAACAUACAUGUGCAUCCAGAAAUCUCAAAAUCAGCAAAAGGAACCUUGGUACAGGUGGAAGCUGAGCUGCUCCAGCGUGGGUGCGAGGACAUAAGUACUCAGGUAAGGGGGCUCAUCUACUGUCAUAAUCAUGUAGGCCAAAAAAUAACAACUGAAAGCAGCAGAACUUCUCAACAUCUCAUAUAGGUUGUCAUUUAGCUGAGUGUGUUCUAAGAUUUUAAUGAAAACUGACACCUGUCACUUUAUGGCUGCAAUCUAAUAGUAUCUAUUUAAAAUAUUUUUCUGGAAGGACAGAGUUGUAGUUAAUUUUACCUGUGUAUUUUAACUUCUUCUGAAUGAAUUUGGCAGUGCAUUUUUCUUUUUCUUUUAGAAGUACAGUGGUUCAUCCUCUGAAGGCUAGAAAAGAAAUAUAAUUACUGUAUAUUAAUGGGAAAGGCAUAUGUUGACAAAAGACUGUAUGGAGACUUAGGCAUACAUUUAUCAAUAGGACUUGAGUAGCCUACUCCACUUCUAUCGCACUGCUUUCAGAACUUUCUUAUUAACAUAGCCUCGGAUGGGUCUGAUAUGCAGAUGGCUAGCCCAGAAACCUGG